UACGGAGGGUGCGAGCGUUGUCCGGAAUCACUGGGCGUAAAGGGCGCGUAGGCGGCGCGGAUAGUCGGCGGUGAAAGCCCGGAGCUCAACUCCGGGUCGGCCGUCGAUACUUCCGGGCUUGAGCGCUGUAGAGGCAGAUGGAAUUCCGGGUGUAGCGGUGGAAUGCGUAGAGAUCCGGAAGAACACCGGUGGCGAAGGCGGUCUGCUGGGCAGUUGCUGACGCUGAUGCGCGACAGCGUGGGGAGCAAACAGG
rnacentral:rRNA from 1 species